UACGGGAGGCAGCAGUGGGGAAUUUUCCGCAAUGGGCGAAAGCCUGACGGAGCAAUACCGCGUGAGGGAGGAAGGCCCUUGGGUUGUAAACCUCUUUUCUCAGGGAAGAAAACUGACGGUACCUGAGGAAUCAGCAUCGGCUAACUUCG
rnacentral:rRNA from 1 species